AUGGAUGGAAAAACACUGAUCAAGGCAUUUUUGGAUUCCAAGUUAUGAACAAAAUCUCUCGGAAGCACAGUGCAGCCAAUGUCAAAUGGGACACCUGUUAAUAUAUUAGGAACUUCUAAGAGUAGUAACAUCAAAAGUUACAUAAUAAACAAUGCCUCUGAUUGUCCAUCACCCAUUCAUUUAAUUGGAGAAAAGCAAAUAAAUACCAACUUAGUACAGAAGGUACUGAAGAGCCUAACAAGACUCAAAAUUCACUAUUAAUUAAUUGAUCUUGAAAAACAUGUUCCUAUUUAAGUAAUGUUUGAUAAAAACAGGAUAAAGGGAGAUUUGAAAAGUGUUUCUUUAUUCACAUCAAAGUUAGCAAAGCCAUCCACUGUGUGUCAUCUGCAAAGGAGUUAAACCAAAGGACUUUUUCUGGACCAUCUAAUUUGGGUAAAUUCAUCAAAGGCACAUUAUUAGGAAGGACGUCAUACUCUUCAGUCAGUGCUCCAAAAUCACUAUUGAAUGGAUUUUAUAGAAACCCACUGAGUUUCAAUAGCAUGCAAAGACCUAGAGCAAAUUCUUGUGCUACUAGAAGUAGUUCUAGAGAAAGCUUAGCUGAAUCCUCAGACAAUAUUAUGCAUAUUACUGGUGAAAAAAAUGGUAAGGUCACACAACUGUUCACAUUCCAUUCAGAGUUCAUUUCUUGCACCUUCAUCUAUAACCAGAUCACACUCCUUCAAUAGAGCUAUAGAUCUUAUAAGUACUAACAGUACAGUCUUUUAAGUACUAACACCUAUCCAUUAGAGUACCUCUGCACUCAUGUAUGCUAACAAGAAACUAUCAGCAGUAAGAAGUAUGAAAUUAGAGUGAACAUUUGGGAUAAGGAUUUAUUAGGUCUUAUGCUGCUGGUGGAAAGAAAUUGGCUUUACAAUGGCCCAGGUGCAACCUUCACUUUAGGUUAUUGGAUGGUUCAUCUCUCUCUACUGAAAUCGAGCUGGCCUCAAGUUUCUGGGACUUUGAUGGAUCACAAUUAAUGGAAAUAAAAAUUCCCCUGCUGACAUAUUUGUAGAAGAUGAUGCUACAGUUUUGGCUAAGGAUAAAGCUACUAAUGAGGACCAAGAAUUAACUGAAAAUGAAAGUUAUAGGACAGAAAAUGAUGAGACCAUGAACCAUGAUGCUAAAAUAGAUAGCUGAGUGAUGAUGUGGAUAAUAUUUCCUUGUCUCCUCUGUCAUCUUCUGAUAAGAAUGAUUUAAGUGAAGACUUCAGAGAAUAUUUAAUAGGUGUAAAAGACUUCAACAGAACUAGAAUAACUCUAGAGGAAAUUUCUCUCAAAGAAGAAAAAUAUGAAAAGGUAACACCCCAGAAUAUAUCUGAUUCUCUCAAGGAAAAUGAAAAAAUCUUGCAGUGAAACUGAUAAAUAGAUAUAAAUGUCUCUAAUAUGAGUGAAUAUAUGAAACAUACUUCUGGGAAUAAUUUGAUUUUACCAGACACAGAUUUCAGAGCUGGUUCUUCAUUUGGACUCUCCAUCUGAUAGCUAUAAUGGAACAUACAUGUGGAAUGAAGAGGGCUUGGAACCCACUGGAAAUGUCUAUCCAAUUGGGAGUUACGAGCCCUAUGAAAUGAACAACAUAGAUAUUUUGAAUAAUCUUGAAUCAUGUGAAUUUGAGGAUGAUGGCCUUAUGAUACACAUCUUGAAAAUGUGGAGCAUGAAAAUAUGAACUGCUUUGACUGACCAGACAGAAGUGUUCAACAGCCUCAGGAAGAAUUUUGGAAAAGGCCACCCUAGAAAUUGAGUAGACAGGAACGCUACCACGUCAGUCAUCCUAACCACUGUGAUUACCACGGAUAAAGUAAUUUGAGCAGAGGCUCUCCCUAUAGUGAAUCUUCUUUGGGUCAUUUUGAAAGCUAUGGAGAGACACCCCUUUUCCAGGUUCAGAAAAUGUUUGUAGAUGUACCAGAAAAUGCAGUGAUGCUGGAUGAGAUGACCCUCCAGCACAUGGUUCAAGAUUGGAGCUUUGUAAAAACUCAGUUACUCAAACUGAAACAUCUCCUGCAUCAGCAUGAAGGACAUGGUUCCUGGCAUGAUAUUCAACUAUCAUUGCCAUCAAGUACAAGAACCAGAAGAUGGUGAUGAAAUAUAUGAGAAUGAAGAUUUAUUAAAUGAAAUAAAACAACUUAAAGAGAAAAUAAAGACAAAAGAUGAAAAGAUCCAACAAUUAGAGAACUUCAGCUUGCAAUUCAGUAUAACAGCCACCAAAAAUCUAAAUAGGAAAAAUGCACACAUACUGAUAAAUAUACCAAAAUGCCCUGGAGACAAAUUCCUCCUCAAGUGCUACAGCCUUCCAGCAGCCCUCCCAGACCAACAGACUACACCAAGAGAGAAUGAAUAUAGCCCCAACAUGUGGAGGUUCCCAGCAAAGGUGCAAUCCAAGACAUGCGUCAGGGCUUCGCAUAUCUAGAUGAAAGCUUUACAUAUGACUUGCAACAAGAAAACAACUAUGGUUUGGAAGACCACCCUUUGGCGUCAAACCCACAUUAACAAUGGAUGUGGCUAAGAGUACAUUUUCUGAAGCAAACUUAAACAUGACUGUAAAUGCUCAAGAGCCUUAUCAUUUGGCAAAUAAUAAAAUUAGUGACAUGCCGUUUGUACCCACUUUUCUUCAGACACCUCUCCAGUCUAGUACAGUAGACCAGGCUAAGAGAGUUAGAAGCUAUACAUGUCACCUCAUGUCCCCGCAGCUUUUAAAACCAUCCAUCUUGAUUCUGUGAUACCUCCUCCAGCUUCUGAAUCAUCUCCAAGCAGGACUGCUGCUUGUAAGAAGUCUUUGAUAAUCACAGCAUGUAAUUCAGCAGAACUUCAGUCAACAUCAAGUAAGAAAAAAAAAUCGUACAACUAAUCGGAAUCUGAAAGCAUCUAAGCUCUGCCACCCUUCAGGUUCUUUCAAACAAAAACAAAUAAACAAGCUCCAACUAGAGCCUCAAAACUUCUAAGCCAAACAAGCAACUCAAAACCACUAAGACAAAUAAAAUAAAACAUGUAGAAUCCAAAUAGCAAUUUACAUUUUGGGGAUUCUUUGGCCUCUAAUCAUUAUUCUAGUCUUCUUAAACCAAAGAUAUAUUAA
rnacentral:lncRNA from 1 species